AAUAGAUACCCGGGUAGUCCACGCCGUAAAUGAUGAGUGCUAGGUGUUAGGGGGUUUCCGCCCCUUAGUGCUGCAGCUAACGCAUUAAGCACUCCGCCUGGGGAGUACGGUCGCAAGACUGAAACUCAAAGGAAUUGACGGGGGCCCGCACAAGCGGUGGAGCAUGUGGUUUAAUUCGAAGCAACGCGAAGAACCUUACCAGGUCUUGACAUCCCGCUGACCGCCAUGGAGACAUGGCCUUCCCUUCGGGGACAGCGGUGACAGGUGGUGCAUGGUUGUCGUCAGCUCGUGUCGUGAGAUGUUGGGUUAAGUCCCGCAACGAGCGCAACCCUUGUCCUUAGUUGCCAUCAUUCAGUUGGGCACUCUAAGGAGACUGCCGUACAAAUACGGAGGAAGGUGGGGAUGACGUCAAAUCAUCAUGCCCCUUAUGACCUGGGCUACACACGUGCUACAAUGGGUGGUACAAAGGGCGGCAAACCCGCGAGGGGGAGCGAAUCCCAAAAAGCCACUCUCAGUUCGGAUUGCAGGCUGCAAC
rnacentral:rRNA from 1 species